rnacentral:rRNA from 1 species
GACGAACGCUGGCGGCGUGCUUAACACAUGCAAGUCGAACGGAAAGGCCCUGCUUUUGUGGGGUGCUCGAGUGGCGAACGGGUGAGUAACACGUGAGUAACCUGCCCUUGACUUUGGGAUAACUUCAGGAAACUGGGGCUAAUACCGGAUAGGAGCUCCUGCUGCAUGGUGGGGGUUGGAAAGUUUCGGCGGUUGGGGAUGGACUCGCGGCUUAUCAGCUUGUUGGUGGGGUAGUGGCUUACCAAGGCUUUGACGGGUAGCCGGCCUGAGAGGGUGACCGGCCACAUUGGGACUGAGAUACGGCCCAGACUCCUACGGGAGGCAGCAGUGGGGAAUAUUGCACAAUGGGCGGAAGCCUGAUGCAGCAACGCCGCGUGCGGGAUGACGGCCUUCGGGUUGUAAACCGCUUUCGCUGUGACGAAGCGUGAGUGACGGUAAUGGGGAAAGAAGCACCGGCUAACUACGU